rnacentral:rRNA from 1 species
AUGACUCCCCUCCCAGUUUUUGUCCUCCUGUCAUUGGUUUGUUUCUGCAAAUCGGAUGACCGCCUUACUCCCGCAAAACCGCUCAAUGCCGGCGACAAGCUCGUUUCGAGCGGCGGCGUCUUUGCUCUUGGCUUCUUCACCCCGGCAAACUCAACUGCGGACUCGUACAUCGGCAUAUGGUACAACAAGAUCCCCGAGCGCACUUAUGUUUGGGUUGCUAACCGCGACAACCCGAUCAAGAAUGGUUCUUCUGGGAAGCUGGUUGUGAGCAGUAACUCUGACCUCGUCUUGUCUGACUCCCAAGGCCAUACUCUCUGGACAACCACAAACAACUUCACAUCCGCAACCACGGGAACUGCUGCUAUACUGUUGGACCCCGGAAACUUGGUCAUCCGGUUGCCGAACGGCACAGACGUAUGGCAGAGCUUCCAUUACCCGACCGACACCGCCCUCCCUGACAUGGUUUUACCACUGAGCACAAAUGAUGGUAUCUUGAGGCGCCUCGUUGCUUGGAGGGGCCCUGAUGACCCGGCCUCCAGCGACUACUCCAUGGGUGGUGACUCCAGCUCAGACCUCCAGGUUGUCAUCUGGAAUGGGACGAGACCAUAUUGGCGCAGAUCUGCGUGGGAUGGGUCAUUGGUCUCUGCCCUGUAUCAAAGCAUUACUGGCUUCAUCGUAACUGAAACAAUUGUUGACAGAGGGGGUGAGUUAUACAUGACAUUCACCGUCUCCGAGGGAUCACCAAGCAUGCGCAUGAUGCUGGACUACAAGGGCACUUUUAAAUUUCUGGUGUGGAACAGCAACUCAUCAUCAUGGGAGGCUUUCAUAGAGCAUCCUAGUCCUAUCUGUGAACGCUAUGCGUAUUGCGGACCAUUUGGCUACUGUGAUGCCACUGAAACAGUUCCGAAAUGCAACUGCCUCAGUGGGUUUGAGCCUGAUGGCGUUAACUUCUCCAAAGGGUGUCGGAGAAAGGAGGAUCUGAAAUGUGGUAAAGACAAUAAUUUCUCGACCCUGAGAGGUAUGAAGACACCUGACAAGUUCUUGUAUGUCAAGAACAGAAGCUUUGACCAAUGCACAGAAGAGUGCAGUCGCAAUUGCUCUUGUUCCGCAUAUGCUUAUGCUAACCUGAAAAAUGAAAGGGCUUAUGCUAACCUGAAAAAUGGAAGUGGGGAUGCGGACCAGUCAAGGUGCUUAAUUUGGUUGGGAGGACUUGUCGACACGGGGAAAUUUCAUGAUGGUGGUGGUGAGAACCUGUACCUCCGCCUUGCCAGUUCAACAGUUGACAAGGAGAGUAAUGUAUUGAAGAUUAUACUCCCAAUAGUGGCUGGUCUGCUGAUACUCGCAUCCAUCUGCCUUGUGUGGAUAUGCAAGUCAAGAGGUAAACGACGAAUCAAGGAGAUUAAGAACAAACAUACACGACAGCACUUGCAAAAUUCUAAGUUGAACGAACUUGAGAAUGAAAGUAUAGACCUUCCAUAUAUUUGCUUUGAAGACAUUGUUACUGCAAUAGACAAUUUCUCAGACUACAAAAUGCUUGGGAAAGGUGGCUUUGGAAAAGUUUACAAGGGACUAUUAGAAGGUGGUGGUAAGGAAGUUGCUGUCAAAAGGCUUAGUAAAAGUUCCGGCCAAGGGGCCGACGAGUUCAGAAAUGAAGUUGUUCUAAUUGCCAAAUUACAGCAUAGAAACUUAGUUAGACUUCUUGGUUACUGCACUCAUGAAGAUGAAAAGUUAUCGAUAUAUGAAUACUUACCUAACAAAAGCUUGGAUGCCUUCCUUUUUGAUGCAACAAGAAAUUCUGUGCUUGAUUGGCUUACCCGGUUCAAGGUAAUUAAAGGGAUAGCGAGAGGUCUUCUUUAUCUCCACCAAGAUUCAAGGAUAUUUGAAGGAAAUGAGCAACAAGCGAACACUAUCCGCGUUGUUGGGACAUGUGGUUACAUGUCUCCUGAAUAUGCAAUGGAAGGUUCCUCUUCUGUCAAGUCUGACACAUAUAGCUUUGGCGUUCUAUUGUUGGAGAUUGUAAGCGGGUCAAAGAUCAGUUCAUCCCAUUUCAUGACGGACUUUACAAACCUUAUAGCUUACGCCUGGAGCUUAUGGAAAGAUGGAAAUGCAAGAGAAUUGGUGGACUCGUCCAUUGUGGAGAACUGUCCACUUCAUGAAGUUCUACGAUGUAUUCAUAUAGGUCUCUUGUGUGUUCAAGACAAUCCAAGUGCCAGGCCGCUCAUGUCAUCCACUGUGUUCAUGCUAGAAAAUGAAACGGCCCCGCUUCCUACUCCGAAGGAGCCUCUAUACUUUAGGCAACGAUAUGAUGAGGUUGAAGACCAAAGAGAUACCAUGGGAAUAACCCUGAAUAAGAUGACUAUCACUGUGCAAGAGGGGCGUUAG